UACGGAGGGUGCAAACGUUGCUCGGAAUCAUUGGGCGUAAAGCGCACGUAGGCGGCUCGUUAAGUCGGAUGUGAAAGCCCUGGGCUCAACCCAGGAAGUGCAUUCGAAACUGGCGAGCUUGAAUAUGGAAGAGGGUCGCGGAAUUCCCGGUGUAGAGGUGAAAUUCGUAGAUAUCGGGAGGAACACCAGUGGCGAAGGCGGCGACCUGGGCCAAUAUUGACGCUGAGGUGCGAAGGCGUGGGGAGCGAACAGG
rnacentral:rRNA from 1 species